CCUACGGGAGGCAGCAGUAGGGAAUCUUCCACAAUGGGCGAAAGCCUGAUGGAGCAACGCCGCGUGGGUGAAGAAGGUCUUCGGAUCGUAAAACCCUGUUGUUAGAGAAGAAAGUGCGUGAGAGUAACUGUUCACGUGUCGACGGUAUCUAACCAGAAAGCCACGGCUAACUACGUGCCAGCAGCCGCGGUAAUACGUAGGUGGCAAGCGUUAUCCGGAUUUAUUGGGCGUAAAGGGAACGCAGGCGGGCGUUUAAGUCUGAUGUGAAAGCCUUCGGCUUAACCGGAGUAGUGCAUUGAAACUGGGAGACUUGAGUGCAGAAGAGGAGAGUGGAACUCCAUGUGUAGCGGUGAAAUGCGUAGAUAUAUGGAAGAACACCAGUGGCGAAAGCGGCUCUCUGGUCUGUAACUGACGCUGAGGUUCGAAAGCGUGGGUAGCAAACAGGAUUAGAUACCCUUGUAGUC
rnacentral:rRNA from 1 species